rnacentral:rRNA from 1 species
CAAGUCGAACGAGGGUAGAAAUACCCGAGUGGCGGACGGGUGAGUAACGCGUGAACAAUCUGCCUAUGUCAGGGGGAUAACGUUGAGAAAUCGACGCUAAUACCGCAUAAGACCACAAUGCUGCAUGGCAAAGGGGUCAAAGGAGCAAUCCGCUUUAAGAUGGGCUCGCGUCCCAUUAGGUAGUUGGUGAGGUAACGGCUCACCAAGCCGACGAUGGGUAGCCGACCUGAGAGGGUGAUCGGCCACACUGGAACUGAGACACGGUCCAGACUCC